rnacentral:misc_RNA from 1 species
UUAAGUUCAGCGGGUAGCCCUACCUGAUUUCAGAUCAAAAUUUGAAUGAGUUUUCUGUAUUAUCAAGACUGACUCCUGGAGCAAAUGUUAGCCAAAGAUUUGACAAUGAAUGCCAAAACUAUUAGGCCAAACUGCUGUAUUAGGUGACAGCCAAGAACUACAUUUUAGAAGGGCCAACCAUGACAGUCGGCGCAUUCCAA